rnacentral:rRNA from 1 species
CAUGCAAGUCGAACGGCAGCGGGGUAGUGCUUGCACUACUGUCCGGCGAGUGGCGAACGGGUGAGUAAUAUAUCGGAACGUACCGAGUAAUGGGGGAUAACCAAUCGAAAGAUUGGCUAAUACCGCAUACGUCCUACGGGAGAAAGCGGGGGAUCGCAAGACCUCGCGUUAUUCGAGCGGCCGAUAACUGAUUAGCUAGUUGGUGGGGUAAAGGCCUACCAAGGCGACGAUCAGUAGCGGGUCUGAGAGGACGAUCCGCCACACUGGGACUGAGACACGGCCCAGACUCCUACGGGAGGCAGCAGUGGGGAAUUUUGGACAAUGGGGGCAACCCUGAUCCAGCCAUGCCGCGUGUAUGAAGAAGGCCUUCGGGUUGUAAAGUACUUUUGUUAGGGAAGAAAAGGGAAGUGCUAAUACCACUUUUUGCUGACGGUACCUAAAGAAUAAGCACCGGCUAA